rnacentral:rRNA from 1 species
UGAGGAAUCUUGGACAAUGGGCGCAAGCCUGAUCCAGCCAUGCCGCGUGGAUGAUGAAGGCCUUAGGGUUGUAAAAUCCUUUCGCCGAGGACGAUAAUGACGGUACUCGGAGAAGAAGCUCCGGCUAACUUCGUGCCAGCAGCCGCGGUAAUACGAAGGGGGCUAGCGUUGUUCGGAUUUACUGGGCGUAAAGCGCGUGUAGGCGGGUCGUUAAGUUGGGGGUGAAAUCCCGAGGCUCAACCUCGGAACUGCCUUCAAAACUGGCGACCUGGACCUAAGUAGAGGCAAGUGGAAUUGCGAGUGUAGAGGUGAAAUUCGUAGAUAUUCGCAGGAACACCAGUGGCGAAGGCGACUUGCUGGACUUAUGGUGACGCUGAGACGCGAAAGCGUGGGGAGCAAACAGGAUUAGAUACCCGGGUAGUCCCUGAGCGGGCUGGCAAGGCGCAU